CAUUUGUUUUUAUUAAACGGUCAACAACACGUGUUUAAAAAAGUGAAAAAUUUUUAAUUUUUAGCAAAAAUCUUUAAAAAAGCAGUUUUAAAAGCAACAAAAUGGGACGUUCAAACAAAUCCCAUAAAAGACGCAAUGAAAACGCUAAAGUAAAAAGAGCACGCUAUGCCGUUAAAGAAUUGGCUAUGCUCAAAAAAACUUUAGGCAUCAUGGAUACCGAAGAAGGUGAUACUAUGGAACAAUUAGCAGAUGUGGCUACAGUUAAAACGGCAAAGGAAAUAAAACAUGAGAAAAAAUCCAAAGAAGAAAACGAACUUGCAUUCGAAUUGCAAGAAGAACGUGAACAAGGUGAAAAAAUCACCAUUGUUAAUGAGAAAACCGGUAAAACUCAUGUUUAUAACACUAAAACAUUAAAAGAUCAACAUGGUUCCUAUCCAUCCUGGUAUAAACCACGUAAAACUGCCAAACGUAUGCGCAAGAAGGAUCAUGCCCGUAAACUUAAAUUCAAGCAACACUGGACGGUUACCAAUGUGCCUUUGUAGUGUGGCCAUAUCCGCAAUUCAUUUGUUUAAAGUUUAAGCUGUGAAUACAGUAUACCUACCAUCAAUCUACAAUCAAUAACAUAUUUCAUAUUCAUCACAAUCAAGUCAUUUAAAAUUCAUAUUAUGGUCAAGCCAAAAAAAAAAAAAAACACAAAAACUCAAAUCUAUGUUUUGCUGCAGUCAGGAAAAGAUUACACUCUUCUCAUACUAAUAUUUUGUGACUAAAAACCAUGUUAAUUUUGGUUAUUCCUGCUGCAAUAUUCAAAUUCAACAUAAUCACAGUCGGUUAUAUUUACUCCAAAUUUCCCAGCAAUAAAUCUGUCUGUCUGUCUGUCUGUCUCUCUAUCUGCACAAAAGACAAAUGAACUUGAUCAUCGUGAGCUUCAAAAUCCAAACAAAAGACCAUCAAAUAAAGAUUUUUUCAGCUUAUCUUCAUUUA